rnacentral:rRNA from 1 species
GAUGCAUUUCUAGGGAUUAGAAAGUUACUUCGGUACAUCGGUGACAGGUGGUGCAUGGUUGUCGUCAGCUCGUGUCGUGAGAUGUUGGGUUAAGUCCCGCAACGAGCGCAACCCCUAUUGUUAGUUGCCAUCAUUCAGUUGGGCACUCUAGCGAGACUGCCGGUAAUAAACCGGAGGAAGGUGGGGAUGACGUCAAAUCAUCAUGCCCCUUAUGACCUGGGCUACACACGUGCUACAAUGGUUGGUACAACGAGUUGCGAGUCGGUGACGGCGAGCUAAUCUCUUAAAGCCAAUCUCAGUUCGGAUUGUAGGCUGCAACUCGCCUACAUGAAGUCGGAAUCGCUAGUAAUCGCGGAUCAGCACGCCGCGGUGAAUACGUUCCCGGGCCUU